UGGGAUGUGACUUAGAGGUAGAGAGCUGGCCUGGCAUGCCUGAGGCCCUGGGUUCAAUCCCCAGCCACUUAA
rfam:Ictidomys tridecemlineatus contig066998, whole genome shotgun sequence.